rnacentral:rRNA from 1 species
UAUGGCCAUACCACCCUGAAUGUGCCCCAUCUAGUCUGAUCUCAGAAGCUAAGCAGGGUAUCACCUCAGGACAUCUGGAAAGGUUAGAUGUUAUGAAAU